GGUGGGUUGGUGGAGGAUCUGUAGUUCUUUGAGUCUUGUUGAGGCUCGAACUCCUGGGGUUGAAAGCCUCAGUUUAACU